AGUGAACGCUGGCGGUAGGCCUAACACAUGCAAGUCGAACGGCAGCACAGUAAGAGCUUGCUCUUACGGGUGGCGAGUGGCGGACGGGUGAGGAAUACAUCGGAAUCUACUUUUUCGUGGGGGAUAACGUAGGGAAACUUACGCUAAUACCGCAUACGACCUACGGGUGAAAGCAGGGGAUCUUCGGACCUUGCGCGAUUGACUGAGCCGAUGUCGGAUUAGCUAGUUGGCGGGGUAAAGGCCCACCAAGGCGACGAUCCGUAGCUGGUUUGAGAGGAUGAUCAGCCGCACUGGAACUGAGACACGGUCCAGACUCCUACGGGAGGCAGCAGUGGGGAAUAUUGGACAAUGGGCGCAAGCCUGAUCCAGCCAUACCGCGUGGGUGAAGAAGGCCUUCGGGUUGUAAAGCCCUUUUGUUGGGAAAGAAAAGCAGCAGGUUAAUACCCCGCUGUUCUGACGGUACCCAAAGAAUAAGCACCGGCUAACUUCGUG
rnacentral:rRNA from 1 species